AAGUCGUAACAAGGUUUCCGUAGGUGAACCUGCGGAAGGAUCAUUAACAAUCACUGUGUGUAUGUGUGUUUGUUGUGGGGGUCACACUCUGCAGCAACCGCAUACACAUCUUCACAAAAACCCAAAGGCUGCGUCAGCAAUUGCCUCGCUGCUCUUGUCGACGCGGCCUUCGGUAGUCUGGAUUGCCGUCGCUUUGCGGCGUGUAUGACAGGCUUUGUUUGGUCGUUGUCGUCGUGUGUGUCAUCCAUUGUUCAUUAGGACGAGGGGGACGCACACUGACAUUGACAACGCACACAUAAACAAACAUCGUGUUUUUUAACGUUUGACUGAGUCAUUAUAUAAUUUAUAAUUAUAUACAACUUUUAACAAUGGAUCUCUUGGCUCUU
rnacentral:misc_RNA from 1 species